rnacentral:rRNA from 1 species
GACGAACGCUGGCGGCGUGCCUAAUACAUGCAAGUAGAACGCAGUGGGGACGGGUGAGUAACACGUGGGUAACCUCCCAUCAGAGGGGAUAAAACUUGGAAACAGGUGCUAAACCGAUACUGAUGGAUGGACCCGCGGUGCAUGAGCUAGUUGGUGAGGUAACGGCUCACCAAGUCGAAUAUGAAUAGCCGUUCUGGUAUGAUUAUCAGCCACACUGGGACGGAGACACGGCCCAGACUCCUACGGGAGGCAGCAGUGGGGAAUCUUCGGCAAUGGACGAAAGUCUGACCGAGCAACGCCGCGUGAGUGAAGAAGGUUUUCGGAUCGUAAAACUCUGUUGUUAGAGAAGCGGUAUCUAACCAGAAAGCCACGGCUAACUACGUGCCAGCAGCCGCGGUAAUAC